CAUGCACCCCCACCCUCCUCACCAGCAUGGAAGAUUACAGUUCACCUAGAAGAUUCAGCAAAUUCAUAAACUCUGCACUUGAUAACUGAGCUCCAAUAAGCCUUCCUGGAAUAAUGCUCGUCAGUAAUGUUGUUAAGAACAGAAGAUUACAGGCUAGGUGUUUUUCAUAGGGAGGACAAAAACAUGGAGUCAUUCUAGUCUGAAAGUUGGUCACUAGAUAUGGAAUGCCAUCUCCAGACUGAUGGACUACCAGUUCUUCUUUCUUCCUAGCUAAGAAGCUGAUUCAGAGAGGUGUU